rnacentral:rRNA from 1 species
UGCCAGACUCCUACGGGAGGCAGCAGUGGGGGAUAUUGCACAAUGGGGGGAACCCUGAUGCAGCGACGCCGCGUGGGUGAAGAAGCGCCUCGGCGCGUAAAGCCCUGUCAGCAGGGAAGAAAAUGACGGUACCUGAAGAAGAAGCCCCGGCUAACUACGUGCCAGCAGCCGCGGUAAUACGUAGGGGGCAAGCGUUAUCCGGAUUUACUGGGUGUAAAGGGGGCGCAGACGGCGAUGCAAGCCAGGAGUGAAAGCCCACGGCCCAACCGUGGGACUGCUCUGGAAACUGUGCGGCUUGGGUGCGGGAGGGGCAGGCGGAAUUCCUAGUGUAGCGGUGAAAUGCGUAGAUAUUAGGAGGAGCACCAGUGGCGAAGGCGGCUUACUGGACUGUAACUGACGUUGAGGCUCGAAAGCGUGGGGAGCAAACAGGAUUAGAUACCCGAGUA